rnacentral:lncRNA from 1 species
AUAAAACAUAUUUUUCUACAGGACGUCGUAAACAAAGAUUUUGAAUCAAGAUAUGAAAGGUUUUUGAGGUUUGAGUAAACAAAGAUUUUGAUUUAAGAUAAAAAAAAAAUUGAGGUAAGACUAUAAAUAUAUAUAAAAGCCCUAUAUUUGGUCAAAUGUGUCAAGUCAUAUUUCAAUGAUGAUGUUUUGUGGUUGUUCCCGGAAAUAGUCGGACUACAAAGACAAGGAAAUAAUUCUUUAUUAGCCUAUACACUGUUACUUUAAUAAU